GACGAACGCUGGCGGCGUGCUUAACACAUGCAAGUCGAACGGAAAGGCCCUGCUUUUGUGGGGUGCUCGAGUGGCGAACGGGUGAGUAACACGUGAGUAACCUGCCCUUGACUUUGGGAUAACUUCAGGAAACUGGGGCUAAUACCGGAUAGGAGCUCCUGCUGCAUGGUGGGGGUUGGAAAGUUUCGGCGGUUGGGGAUGGACUCGCGGCUUAUCAGCUUGUUGGUGGGGUAGUGGCUUACCAAGGCUUUGACGGGUAGCCGGCCUGAGGGGGUGACCGGCCACAUUGGGACUGAGAUACGGCCCAGACUCCUACGGGAGGCAGCAGUGGGGAAUAUUGCACAAUGGGCGGAAGCCUGAUGCAGCAACGCCGCGUGCGGGAUGACGGCCUUCGGUUUGUAAACCGCUUUCGCCUGUGACGAAGCGUGAGUGACGGUAAUGGGUAAAGAAGCACCGGCUAACUACGUG
rnacentral:rRNA from 1 species